UGGUGGCGAGCGGCGGACGGGUGAGUAAUGCCUAGGAAUCUGCCUGGUAGUGGGGGAUAACGCUCGGAAACGGACGCUAAUACCGCAUACGUCCUACGGGAGAAAGCAGGGGACCUUCGGGCCUUGCGCUAUCAGAUGAGCCUAGGUCGGAUUAGCUAGUUGGUGAGGUAAUGGCUCACCAAGGCGACGAUCCGUAACUGGUCUGAGAGGAUGAUCAGUCACACUGGAACUGAGACACGGUCCAGACUCCUACGGGAGGCAGCAGUGGGGAAUAUUGGACAAUGGGCGAAAGCCUGAUCCAGCCAUGCCGCGUGUGUGAAGAAGGUCUUCGGAUUGUAAAGCACUUUAAGUUGGGAGGAAGGGCAGUUACCUAAUACGUGAUUGUUUUGACGUUACCGACAGAAUAAGCACCGGCUAACUCUGUGCCAGCAGCCGCGGUAAUACAGAGGGUGCAAGCGUUAAUCGGAAUUACUGGGCGUAAAGCGCGCGUAGGUGGUUUGUUAAGUUGGAUGUGAAAUCCCCGGGCUCAACCUGGGAACUGCAUCCAAAACUGGCAAGCUAGAGUAUGGUAGAGGGUGGUGGAAUUUCCUG
rnacentral:rRNA from 1 species